CCUACGGGAGGCAGCAGUGGGGAAUAUUGCACAAUGGGGGAAACCCUGAUGCAGCGACGCCGCGUGAGUGAAGAAGUAAUUCGUUAUGUAAAGCUCUAUCAGCAGGGAAGAAAAUGACGGUACCUGAGUAAGAAGCGCCGGCUAACUACGUGCCAGCAGCCGAGGUAAUACGUAGGGGGAAAGCGUUAACCGGUUUUACUGGGGGAAAAGGGAGCGGAGACGGCAGUGCAAGUCUGGAGUGAAAGGCGGGGGCUCAACCCCCGGACUGCUCUGGAAACUGGACAGCUGGAGGGCAGGAGAGGUAAGUGGAAUUCCUAGUGUAGCGGUGAAAUGCGUAGAUAUUAGGAGGAACACCAGUGGCGAAGGCGGCUUACUGGACUGUAACUGACGUUGAGGCUCGAAAGCGUGGGGAGCAAACAGGAUUAGAUACCCUGGUAGUC
rnacentral:rRNA from 1 species